UCACGCGUCCCUUUGGCCAACUGUUCCGCGGCAAACAAUUGUCGACUACUACUACUACAUCUCCCACCUGAAUCGGCCGCACCGACUCGAACCACUUCGAUCGACGGGUCAGCGUGGGGAGGUAUGCCGAUACCCAUCUCCUCCAGAAUACGUCAGCGUCGCGUUGGGCGGCUCUCCACGCUGAUUUAGCAGCGGUACCACUGUCGUCAAAUACGGCGGGCGGCUUGCACCCGUUGGAGCUUCCGAGUAGUAGAUGAUUUGGUGUGAUCGGUGUGUCCACCGAUGUGUCCAUCUCGUCGUCCAACGGCACGUAGUUUUCUUUUCAGGAGCUCGUACCGUUUCAUCGUUGCAGCUUUGUUACAUGGCAAUCGGACGUCAUCAUAUCUCCAUAGUAAGCCCGUUUCGAAUCGAUCGCCCUGCAGUUUGGUUUCUCGGUUAAGUAUCACCAGGGCACGUUCAUCGUCUUUGGAUUUGAGUAAGCGUGAUGGCUUAGUGAUACCCAGUGAAUCCAACGAGAAGAACGCCUUAACCUCGCUUGUGAGUACAUCAUCGACGUUACCUUCGCAGCGGCAGAUGUGAAAACUUCCGUGUCCUCCAGUUACACUAGCGGUUGCAAUAGGGCAGGCGGCUUUCCCAAACGACAAUUGUCUACACCAAUUAGUACUCGAGGUACGGCAUCGAAGUAGGAGGUAAACGGUAAACCCUUCAGAUGUGAAUACGCAGAUUGCAGUUGUUUACCAUCUAUCGUCUGCGCGGGCAAGGCUAGAUUGCUGACCGUGUGUACCUUUGUCAGCUCAUGCACUGGAGCCCCUUCGUAUGCACCUGAUAUUCGCACUGCCAGCUGGACGGAAGCCUUUUCUGCUCUGGUAGUAUCUCCGGUCCACUUGAGACACAAUGGCCGUGACGUUCCGAUCAACCCUAAUUCGUCCAUCAGGCUAUGAUCGAUGAAGGUCGAUGACGAACCUUCGUCGAGAAAAGCGUACGUUCGAACCGUCCUGCCAUCCUUUCCAUACAUCGUUACCGGUACGUAGCGGAACAAAGUGCGAUCGUUGGAGCCGGAAUGAGUAAGGCAAUGCUUUUCUGUUGUGUUGGUCAUACCCAGAGAACCAUGUAGCAACCUAUGGUGCAUUGCCUCGCACCCAUUGGAUCCGCAAACUGUUUUAAGCGACGGUCAUCGUUUGGAAUCGUUGGCAUGUAUCCAGUGCGGCACACUCUCCCUGGCAGGCUGAACAUUUGGAAACAUUUGUAUGUGGGUACUUACCGCUUGUGGUGGCG